rnacentral:rRNA from 1 species
GAUGAACGCUGGCGGCGUGCUUAACACAUGCAAGUCGAACGAAGCACUUUAUUUGAUUUCCUUCGGGACUGAUUAUUUUGUGACUGAGUGGCGGACGGGUGAGUAACGCGUGGGUAACCUGCCUUGUACAGGGGGAUAACAGUUGGAAACGGCUGCUAAUACCGCAUAAGCGCACGGCAUCGCAUGAUGCAGUGUGAAAAACUCCGGUGGUAUAAGAUGGACCCGCGUUGGAUUAGCUAGUUGGUGAGGUAACGGCCCACCAAGGCGACGAUCCAUAGCCGACCUGAGAGGGUGACCGGCCACAUUGGGACUGAGACACGGCCCAAACUCCUACGGGAGGCAGCAGUGGGGAAUAUUGCACAAUGGGCGAAAGCCUGAUGCAGCGACGCCGCGUGAGCGAAGAAGUAUUUCGGUAUGUAAAGCUCUAUCAGCAGGGAAGAUAAUGACGGCACCUGACUAAGAAGCACCGGCUAAAUACGUG